rnacentral:lncRNA from 1 species
AGCCAAAGGACAAAGGGGGAAAGAAUAGAAAAACUCUAAGGAGGAAAAAUUCAAGAGAAAUUCAUUGGAUUUUCGAAAAACGAAGCGAUCAGAGGUAAGAUUUCGUAAUUUAGCUUAGGAUCUAUCGUACCCGUGCUUUCUUUUUCAUUUUCUAUGGUUGAAACUCAAGUUUUCAUUAUGGAAGCAUGCUGGCCGAAUCAAGGGGGGGAAGGUUUUGAUGAUGGUUUUUGAUAGAUUUUAGGCUAUCUAGGUGUUUUUAGUGUUUUGUGAUAUUUGGUAUGAAAAACAAGCAAGAAAAUAACAUGUUCUUCAUCAAACCAUAAAUGGACGAAUUCUAUAGGGAAUAUUUUGAAGAUGAAUUUUGUCAUAUUUCAUGUUAUCUAGCUCGUAUUUGAUGAUUUGUGAUGUUGGAUAUCGAAAAUGGUUAUCGAAAAGUAUAGUUCCUUUAGUAAACGACUUGAACGAUAAUGAGAAAAUUUUAGUAAAUGGACUUAGAAUUGAUUUCUAAUGAGGUAUACAGACUUAUUGGAGUAUCGAAAGUGCAAUGAAUAUAUUUGGAGUUGAAUUGGAUGUUUUGGCUAAUUAAACAGUGUAUAGUGUGAGUUAGGUCGAAUACCAUUUAAGUCUAACAACAAUUGAACUUACGUAGAAUACCAUCUUUAAGUGAUUAUUCGAACACUUCUCAUUCAAUUUCAUGCAUUCAUAAAGAGCCUAAAAUAGUCUUAUAACAGUUUGGCACAAGUAUAUUGAAUUACUUGUUGUGCAUUAUGUAUAGGUGAUGAGCCCUCUGGUAAGGGUAAGGAUAUCGUACCCGAGGACUAGGAGUCGGAGUACUCCCGUUAUUGUGAGUAAAUAGACGAUCAUCUUAACUAUCUAAAGUAGUUUCUACUUGUUUUUAUGAUUUUAAAGAAUAAUAAAUUUAAAUUGUAAACUAUUAUGUUUUAUAACUGAAGUGUUCGUUAAAUGAAAUCAGAUUCAUAAUUUGGUUUGAAAUUGAAUCCUGGUUUUGGAAAUUGAGUAAGUGGAGACUAUAUACUUGUGUUAUAUAUAUGUUUUGACAUAUGGUUUGAAUUGAUGACUUAUGACAAUGUGACAGCAUGAAUGGCUAGAUUUGUGUUUGUGUGGAAUAUAUGAACUGUUUUGUUUUACCUUGACAGGCAGGGUAAUAUCAUAUUAGCCAUGUCAUACUGUCGAAAUUUUAUUGAUUUGAUGGGAUAAUUGAUUAGCUUACUGCAGUGGGCGGGUUUCCGUGGACCAGCCUAUUAAAAGGGCAUAGUAAACCCCGUUAUAUUUUACCUUAGUAUGAAAGGCGUGGAGGGUAUCUCCUAAGGUAGUUUAGAGUUCACUUCACGCUGAACCACUACGUGAGGGUGAAACUUAGCCAACGCCAAGGAACAGUUACAUUUUUAAACGUAAAAACAUGUUUUAUGUGUAUAUGUUAUUUUAACAGCCUUGACAGACUCGGUUGGAUGCCCGGCGCAAGGUGUCAUCAAGUACGAGUUUUGGCACGAGACAAGUUUUAAGAGAGCCAUAAGCCUUGUUGAUUAUUUUUGAUGAAAUGUAAUUGUUUUAUAUGGUUGAAAUUAGUUUUAAUGUUAUGAAUCAUAUUAUGAAGAGAUGUUUUAAUUGUCUCCAUUUACUCGACUUUAGAUGUUAUAAAUGAACCUUGCUUACUCACUGGGUUUAUAAAAACUCACCCCAUUCUUUUCACCCAUUUCAGGUUCAGAGCAGUCUGUAGACAGUCGAUUUCGUCAAGGGUUUGUUUUUGGAUUUGCACCCUUAGAAAUUGUAGGUCUACAGUCCUGUUUAUUUUUGUUAUUUUGGGGCUCACAUGUCAUUGUAAAAUAUUUUU